rnacentral:rRNA from 1 species
UACGGGGGGGGCAAGCGUUGUUCGGAAUUACUGGGCGUAAAGGGCUCGUAGGCGGCCAACUAAGUCAGACGUGAAAUCCCUCAGCUUAACUGGGGAACUGCGUCUGAUACUGGAUGGCUUGGAUUCGGGAGAGGAAUGCGGAAUUCCAGGUGUAGCGGUGAAAUGCGUAGAUAUCUGGAGGAACACCGGUGGCGAAGGCGGCAUUCUGGACCGACAUUGACGCCGAGGAGCGAAAGCCAGGGGAGCAAACGGG